rnacentral:rRNA from 1 species
ACAUACGACCAUACCCACUGGAAUAUACGGGAUCCCGUCCGCUCUCCCCUAGUCAAACCAGUGAGGGCCGAACUAGUACUCAGGUGGGUGACCACUGGGGAAUCCUCGGUGUUGUAUGUG